GGUUAUGGCUCAGCGGUAGAGCACUUGCCUAGUAUAUGCAAAGCCCUGGUUUCGAUCCUCAGCACCA
rnacentral:tRNA from 1 species